ACAUGAUCAUGCGCUCUACCUCAAUGCAUACGUUCUUGAGAUUCUGCCUUAUUUGCUUAGGAAAAAGUAAAUUUGUGGAGAUUGUUCUGCUGGGAUUUAGAGUACAAUGUAAAUGGAAUCCCGAACCUUCAUUCCUCAGAAGGUACAUUUACAAGCUGUUGCUUGGGAUUUACCGUAAAAAAUUGGGUAACUGUCAGAGCUACAAACUGAACCGAAAAUACCUCAUUCUGUUAGUAAUUAUUAUGCAACCUGUCAGCGCACAGAAGGAUAUAUGUUCUCGUUUAGGAAAAGGGUGAUCCAGCCAUUAAAACUGCUUGGAGCCAGGGGGCACUUGAAAAGUGGUUCAAUUUUUCAACUUAGACCCUCAAAUUGAAAUGCUGGGGAUCAAACUUCAUAGAGGCUUUCGCCUUGGCACGCUGAGAACGAGGGCUGCUUGGUCACUGGUUGCUGCAGUUGCAGUGAUUCGAUACCCACAGUCCCAUCGGCGAUGAAUACCUUCACUAGGGUAUAAGAAAUCCAACUCGACCACCUGAAGUUUAAGAAAAACGGUCAGGUCAGUUUUGCACUGUAAUUUUGUAUAACCAGAUUAGAUGAUAUUAUCCUUUCAUUAUGUGAAAAAUAACCUGAUCAGAAAAUCCUGCACCACGGGACAUAACAACACCCCACCGACUUCCCGAGGUAGCCAUUGCCGUUACAUAGAAUCCCUCUCUCCACUUUUUGUUAAUCCAUUUGAAAGGAAAAGAAUCACUGACUUUGUA